rnacentral:rRNA from 1 species
UUGAGACAUCGGAUCAG